AUUGAACGCUGGCGGCAGGCUUAACACAUGCAAGUCGAGCGGGGUGAUGGUGCUUGCACUAUCACUUAGCGGCGGACGGGUGAGUAAUGCUUAGGAAUCUGCCUAUUAGUGGGGGACAACAUCUCGAAAGGGAUGCUAAUACCGCAUACGUCCUACGGGAGAAAGCAGGGGAUCACUUGUGACCUUGCGCUAAUAGAUGAGCCUAAGUCGGAUUAGCUAGUUGGUGGGGUAAAGGCCUACCAAGGCGACGAUCUGUAGCGGGUCUGAGAGGAUGAUCCGGCACACUGGGACUGAGACACGGCCCAGACUCCUACGGGAGGCAGCAGUGGGGAAUAUUGGACAAUGGGGGGAACCCUGAUCCAGCCAUGCCGAGUGUGUGAAGAAGGCCUUAUGGUUGUAAAGCACUUUAAGCGAGGAGGAGGCUCUUUUGGUUAAUACCCAAGAUGAGUGGACGUUACUCGCAGAAUAAGCACCGGCUAACUCCGUGCCAGCAGCCGCAGUAA
rnacentral:rRNA from 1 species